CAAUAAAUUAUACUAAAGUUGUUGCGGUUAAAAAGCUCGUAAUUGGAUUUCUGCUGAGAACGACCGGUCCGCCCUUUGGGUGUGUAUCUGGCUCUUUCUUGGCAUCUUCUUGGUGAACGUUGCUGCACUUGACUGUGUGGAGCGCUACCCAGGACUUUUACUUUGAGGAAAUUAGAAUGUUUCAAGCAGGCAUACGCCUUGAAUACAUCAGCAUGGAAUAAUAAGAUAGGACCUCGGUUCUAUUUUGUUGGUUUCUAGAGCUGAGGUAAUGAUUAAUAGGGAUAGUUGGGGGCAUUCGUAUUUAACUGUCAGAAGUGAAAUUCUUGGAUUUGUUAAAGACGGACUACUGCGAAAGCAUUUGCCAAGGAUGUUUUCAUUGA
rnacentral:rRNA from 1 species